GCGCUCGUAGCUCAACUGGAUAGAGCGACAGACUUCGGAUCUGUAGGUUAUGGGUUCGAUUCCUAUCGGGCGCA
rfam:Campylobacter lari RM2100, complete genome.